rnacentral:rRNA from 1 species
CACGUAGGGGGCAAGCGUUGUCCGGAUUUAUUGGGCGUAAAGAGCUCGUAGGCGGUUGGGCAAGUCACGUGUGAAAUCUCCACGCUCAACGUGGAGGCGCCACGUGAGACUGCCCUGACUCGAGUCCGGUAGGGGAGCGGUGGAAUUCCCGGUGUAGCGGUGAAAUGCGCAGAGAUCGGGAGGAACAUCAGUGCGAAGGCGGCUCUCUGGACCAGCACUGACACUGAGGCACGAAAGCGUGGGGAG